UACGGAGGGGGCUAGCGUUGUUCGGAAUUACUGGGCGUAAAGCGCGCGUAGGCGGCUUUGCAAGUCAGAGGUGAAAGCCCGGGGCUCAAUCCCGGAAUUGCCUUUGAGACUGCAUCGCUAGAACGUCGGAGAGGUAAGUGGAAUUCCGAGUGUAGAGGUGAAAUUCGUAGAUAUUCGGAAGAACACCAGUGGCGAAGGCGACUUACUGGACGACUGUUGACGCUGAGGUGCGAAAGCGUGGGGAGCAAACAGG
rnacentral:rRNA from 1 species